CCGGAGGAAGGUGGGGAUGACGUCAAGUCAGCAUGGCCUUUAUGUCUGGGGCCACACACGUGCUACAAUGGCCGGUACAAACCGUCGCGAUCUCGCGAGAGGGAGCUAAUCGGAGAAAGCCGGUCUCAGUUCGGAUUGUAGGCUGCAACUCGCCUGCAUGAAGUUGGAAUCGCUAGUAAUCGCGGAUCAGCACGCCGCGGUGAAUACGUUCCCGGGCCUUGUACACACCGCCCGUCACAUCACGAAAGCCGGCUGUACUAGAAGUCGCUGCGCUAACCCGCAAGGGGGGCAAGCGCCUAAGGUAU
rnacentral:rRNA from 1 species